GUGCCUAAUACAUGCAAGUAGAACGCUGAAGAGAGGAGCUUGCUCUUCUUGGAUGAGUUGCGAACGGGUGAGUAACGCGUAGGUAACCUGCCUUGUAGCGGGGGAUAACUAUUGGAAACGAUAGCUAAUACCGCAUAACAAUGGAUGACACAUGUCAUUUAUUUGAAAGGGGCAAUUGCUCCACUACAAGAUGGACCUGCGUUGUAUUAGCUAGUAGGUGAGGUAAUGGCUCACCUAGGCGACGAUACAUAGCCGACCUGAGAGGGUGAUCGGCCACACUGGGACUGAGACACGGCCCAGACUCCUACGGGAGGCAGCAGUAGGGAAUCUUCGGCAAUGGGGGCAACCCUGACCGAGCAACGCCGCGUGAGUGAAGAAGGUUUUCGGAUCGUAAAGCUCUGUUGUAAGUCAAGAACGGGUGUGAGAGUGGAAAGUUCACACUGUGACGGUAGCUUACCAGAAAGGGACGGCUAACUACGUGCCAGCAGCCGCGGUAAUACGUAGGUCCCGAGCGUUGUCCGGAUUUAUUGGGCGUAAAGCGAGCGCAGGCGGUUUGAUAAGUCUGAAGUUAAAGGCUGUGGCUCAACCAUAGUUCGCUUUGGAAACUGUCAAACUUGAGUGCAGAAGGGGAGAGUGGAAUUCCAUGUGUAGCGGUGAAAUGCGUAGAUAUAUGGAGGAACACCGGUGGCGAAAGCGGCUCUCUGGUCUGUAACUGACGCUGAGGCUCGAAAGCGUGGGGAGCGAACAGGAUUAGAUACCCUGGUAGUCCACGCCGUAAACGAUGAGUGCUAGGUGUUGGAUCCUUUCCGGGAUUCAGUGCCGCAGCUAACGCAUUAAGCACUCCGCCUGGGGAGUACGACCGCAAGGUUGAAACUCAAAGGAAUUGACGGGGGCCCGCACAAGCGGUGGAGCAUGUGGUUUAAUUCGAAGCAACGCGAAGAACCUUACCAGGUCUUGACAUCCCGAUGCUAUUUCUAGAGAUAGAAAGUUACUUCGGUACAUCGGUGACAGGUGGUGCAUGGUUGUCGUCAGCUCGUGUCGUGAGAUGUUGGGUUAAGUCCCGCAACGAGCGCAACCCCUAUUGUUAGUUGCCAUCAUUCAGUUGGGCACUCUAGCGAGACUGCCGGUAAUAAACCGGAGGAAGGUGGGGAUGACGUCAAAUCAUCAUGCCCCUUAUGACCUGGGCUACACACGUGCUACAAUGGUUGGUACAACGAGUUGCGAGUCGGUGACGGCGAGCUAAUCUCUUAAAGCCAAUCUCAGUUCGGAUUGUAGGCUGCAACUCGCCUACAUGAAGUCGGAAUCGCUAGUAAUCGCGGAUCAGCACGCCGCGGUGAAUACGUUCCCGGGCCUUGUACACACCGCCCGUCACACCACGAGAGUUUGUAACACCCGAAGUCGGUGAGGUAACCUUUUGGAGCCAGCCGCCUAAGGUGGGACAGAUGAUUGGGG
rnacentral:rRNA from 1 species